GCAAGAGUGGCGGAAUUGGUAGACGCGCACGCUUGAGGGGCGUGUGAUUAACUUCGUACGGGUUCAAGUCCCGUCUUUUGCACCA
rnacentral:tRNA from 1 species